AGAACGAACGCUGGCGGCAGGCCUAACACAUGCAAGUCGAGCGCUGUAGCAAUACAGAGCGGCGCACGGGUGAGUAACACGUGGGAACGUGCCCUUUGGUUCGGAAUAACUCAGGGAAACUUGAGCUAAUACCGGAUGAGCCCUAACGGGGAAAGAUUUAUCGCCGAAGGAGCGGCCCGCGUUGGAUUAGCUAGUUGGUGGGGUAAAAGCCUACCAAGGCGACGAUCCAUAGCUGGUUUGAGAGAACGACCAGCCACACUGGGACUGAGACACGGCCCAGACUCCUACGGGAGGCAGCAGUGGGGAAUCUUGGACAAUGGGGGAAACCCUGAUCCAGCCAUGCCGCGUGAGUGAUGAAGGCCCUAGGGUUGUAAAACUCUUUCGGCGGGGACGAUAAUGACGGUACCCGCAGAAGAAGCUCCGGCUAACUUCGUGCCAGCAGCCGC
rnacentral:rRNA from 1 species